rnacentral:lncRNA from 1 species
GACGACAAGGAGUUGGCCGCAACACUUGUUAUAGUCUUAUUUUAUUUUAUUUUAUUAUUCUUUUUAAAUUUUUUAUAAUUAAAUUUUAAUUUUAAUUAAUAAAAAAUUUAUUUUUUUGUACUUUAAAUUUUUAUCUUUUAUUUUGUCAUAAGUAGAUGCUAGGAUUUAGUUAGUAGAUCUUAAUAUCAAUUUAUUUUAUGCUCUUUAAAUUCUUAUUAAUUAUUUUUAUUACAAGUAGAAGCUAGGAUCUAAAUAG